UACAGGGGGUGCAAACGUUGCUCGGAAUCAUUGGGCGUAAAGCGCACGUAGGCGGUUCGUUAUGUCGGAUGUGAAAGCCCUUGGCUUAACCGAGGAAGUGCAUCCGAAACUGGCGAGCUAGAGUACGAAAGAGGAUCGCGGAAUUCCCGGUGUAGAGGUGAAAUUCGUAGAUAUCGGGAGGAACGCCGGUGGCGAAGGCGGCGAUCUGGGUCGAUACUGACGCUGAGGUGCGAAAGCGUGGGGAGCAAACAGG
rnacentral:rRNA from 1 species